rnacentral:lncRNA from 1 species
GCCCCCGCGUGCGGUGUUUGUCGGUUUCCUAUGCUCCGCCCCCGCGCCCGCAGAACGCGCUGUGCCAGGCUCAAGCUCCGCCCCCCGUCUGGCGAACCCAGCCAAUCGGGUCCGCCUCUCUGACGCGCGCAGGCCGGCACCUGCGUCCUGCCCCGCCUCUUUCCCAGGAGCUGUCAGAGAGCCGUUGUCGGUUGAGGGAGGAAGGUGCGCGAGGUGGAGCAGGUAAGCGACCCCCCUCCUCAACGCGCCGGCGCGCUCUCUCCCCGUUUUUCGUCACUGGCCUCCCUAACGGUCACUCACUUGGCUCCCUAUUCCCUCACCGCGCGGGCCUUCUGGGGCUCAGCCGCCGCCUCCUUCUCCUCAGGCCGAGGUGCUCGAGCUCCCUCCCCCGAGCAGGGGGCGAAAGGGAAGGUGGAGGAGGUGGGCAGACAGCAG